rnacentral:lncRNA from 1 species
CCGGUUUUGGAGUUGUUGGUUCUGUGGUUCGGGCGGAUGGGGCACCAGCGUCCUCCUCCUGAAUCCUCCUCACGAUGGCUGCAGAAGCUGGGGUCCUUGGGAUAUGUUGCCUCCUCUGGAUUUGCCUCAGGGUUCUUCUUUUGCAGCUGUAGCCAGUCUCCAGCUUGUCUAAAUUGUCCACCUCUCCUUUUGUGGCAUUGUAAUCCAUUAUAAUUUCUGUUUUUUUAUGUUCUUGGCCACAGAUUCUCCCAUCCCUAUGCAGCAUACUCAUGAGUACCACAUUUUGGCCUUUCUUUGGCACGUAGGACACUAGGGACGUGUCGGCCAUGAACACAAAUUUAGAGUAAUUGAUAGGCCUGUUCCGUGUCUUCAACAGCUGAGGUGUGAGCUCUGACUUGUUUUUUCAUACUGUUCCUACUAUUGUCAGCUUCCUCUUGAGGAGCUCCUGUCCCAGCUUUUUCAAAGUAAAAAAGUUAUUGCAUGUGAUGUUGUGGCCACGGAGUCCUUGUGUCACGUCCAGGACAACCCGCUUCCCCAUAUACACUUGCAAGUUCCACGCAUAUGAUGAAGCAGCAUCACAGGCAGCCCAGAUCUUGAUACCAUAUUUUGCGGGUUUAGACGGUAUGUACUGCCUGAAGAGGCAGCAGCUCCUAAAUUGCAUAAGCUUAUCAUCAACAGUAACAUUCAGCCCAGGGUUGUAAAACAGGGGAAGGCAGUCCACCCUCAUGUCCUACACUGACCUGAUUACAGCUAGCUUGUCUCUCUGCCGCCAAGCUGGUCUGGUGUCUCGGGUUAUCAAAGCGGAUAAUCCUGGAAAUAAUGUGGAAGUUUUCCAGGGACAUUAUUGCACGGAAAAGUGCUCUGCCAGUUUCUGCAUCCCACAGAGAUUCUGUGGACUCCCCAUUGGAUCUGAAAACACCAGCAAGUAUACGAACCCCAAAGUAUGCAUGUAAAUGAGUUUGGUCCAUCUCCUUCUAUUUCUCUCCAAAAACAUGCCUUCCCUCCAAAUUAUUCAGUUCAAAAGAAGACUUUACGUCUUGCGCAUGAGUAACCACCAUCCGCGUCGGCCCUGGUUGUAUCCUUAUCACAUUGGCAGCCAUGCGGGGUGGCUCAUUCCUUGGGCAGGAAGACCAUUCAAUGUCACAAUUCUUUUACAUCCAUAUUUUUCCUCCUGCAGGCUGCUGACGGCUGGUCCUGGGGCAGGCUGCUGAGGGGCUGGUCCUGGGGUAGGCUGCUGACGGGCUGGUCCUGGGGCUGGUUGCUGACGGGCUGGUCCUGGGGCAGGCUGCUAACGGGCUGGUCCUGGGGCAGGCUGCUGACGGGCUGGUCCUGGGGCAGGCUGCUGACGGGCUGGUCCUGGGGCAGGCUGCUGACGGGCUGGUCCUGGGGCUGGCUGCUGACGGGCUGGUCCUGGGGCUGGCUGCUGACGGGCUGGUCCUGGGGCUGGCUGAGGGUCAAUCUCAUCCUCUUCUUCCAACUCACUGUCAGACUGCGAAUGGACAGAGACAUGAUCCUCAUAUUCUGAAAAUUCUUCAUCUUCCAAAGUGGAAGACACUCCUUCCACACUAGCUUCUUUCUCUGCAAAAAUUAUUUGUAAGGCCCUCUGAGCAUAGAUUAUUUUUUCCAUACUGAUUGAUAGUGGUAAG